AUGCACGCUAGCUACAGGCUUCACCCCUGCCAGUCGCGGGGAAACGACAUCGAAAGCUUGCUUUUGAUGGGCGUCGACCGGCGCACGGGUGAGUAACGCGUAUCCAACCUGCCCAUCACUUGGGAAUAACCUUGCGAAAGUAAGACUAAUACCCAAUGAUAUCCCACGAAGGCAUCGGAAUGGGAUUAAAGAUUUAUCGGUGAUGGAUGGGGAUGCGUCUGAUUAGCUUGUUGGCGGGGUAACGGCCCACCAAGGCAACGAUCAGUAGGGGUUCUGAGAGGAAGGUCCCCCACAUUGGAACUGAGACACGGUCCAAACUCCUACGGGAGGCAGCAGUGAGGAAUAUUGGUCAAUGGGCGAGAGCCUGAACCAGCCAAGUAGCGUGCAGGAAGACGGCCCUAUGGGUUGUAAACUGCUUUUAUAAGGGAAUAAAGUGGGUCACGUGUGACUUUUUGCAUGUACCUUAUGAAUAAGGACCGGUUAAUUCCGUG
rnacentral:rRNA from 1 species